AGGGCUAACUUUCGCCACCUCUCCGCAAGGGUCAAGGUGACUCCCAGCGCUUCCAUCUGGAGAUGAUGAAACCAUUUAAGAGGCGUCAAGAUUUACCAAGUUCUUCCCUCUAGCUCUGGUUUCCUCAAAGAGAUCUUCAUGACUGCCAAGCAUCAUUACAAGAGGAGUAUUUAAAAAGAAGCUACACAUAGGGGAAUUGCCUGGCUCUGAG